ensembl:ncRNA lncRNA:CR45790 long non-coding RNA:CR45790
AGUGGAAAGUGGACAUGAAUGUGGAUGUGGGAGUGGGGUAUACAUAUAACGCUGGCUUGGCAACUGCACCCAGUUUUCAAGUGCAUCUGCAUUCGAAGUUGAAAGCUGGUACCGAAUCCUGUGUAGCUGUGUAAACGACCUUUGAUGUGGGCCUGGUUGGUUGGUUGGUUGGUUGGUUGGUUGUUCGGUUGGUCGUUGGUUUAGUCUCGACUCGUAUUCGCAUUAACGCCAUUAGGCCAAUUUGGCACUUUGCCCUGGCCCCGAAAAGGCGCGCACGGAGAACUUUCACAAACAAAAGGUAACAAACGGCGUCAGGAUGUUGCAAUAGCUCUCCUUCUGCGCCACCUCGAAAGCCACCCGAAAAGCAGCCAAGAGUCACCCAACUACUCCGUUCCUCCUUGCCGUUCCACUCCAUGCCACUCACAUGCCAAUGCCCGUGUAAAUAAAAGUCAAGUGAGGAAAACAAAUAAAUUAGAAGCGCAUCCUCCGCUCGUUGGCAACGGGCAUUUCUCUUCGUUAUUGCGCGACUGCCUUUAAUUACGACACCAGGCGGCUGAAAGGAGCUGGAGAUGCUGUUGCAAAGUCCUGCCCGAGUAUUCCCCCACUCUCCCCAAUUUCCACUUUCCAGUGCACCCCCCCCGGUUUGCCCAGUGCCACCUCGUGCUCCGUGCUCCGCCACAGCGUAGCAUCCUCAAUUUAUGUUUAUUUGAAAGCUGUUGCACUUGACUAAUGUCCUCUCCGUCUGGCCUCUCAUCCUGCCACUUAGCAGGAUGCGGCGACAUUCACAGGCUCUUGGACUUUGGCCAUCUGGUAUUUAAGCCAUCAAAUCCACAUCAUUUUGGCCAGCAGCCCGUGUUCAGGAUGAGCAUG